rnacentral:rRNA from 1 species
AGUUUUUUGCUGGCGAGCUACCAUGCAGUCGAGCGGUACAGGGUGCUUGCUCCUUAACCAGUGGCGAACGGGUGAGUAAUGCGUCUGAACCUGCCUAGUAGUGGGGGAUAACGCCUCGAAAGUUGGGCUAAUACCGCAUACGUACUGCGGUAUAAAGUGGGGGACCUUCGGGCCUCACGCUAUUCGAUCGGCCGACGUCUGAUUAGCUAAUUGGUGAGGUAAAGGCUCACCUAGGCGACGAUCCGUAGCGGGUCUGACAGGAUGAUCCGCCACACUGGAACUGAGACACGGCCCAGACUCCUACGGGAGGCAGCAGUGGGGAAUUUUGGACAAUGGGCGAAAGCCUGAUCCAGCCAUGCCGCGUGUCUGAAGAAGGCCUUCGGGUUGUAAAGGACUUUUGUCAGGGAGGAAAUCCCUUCUGCUAAUACCUUGGGGGAUGACGGUACCUGAAUAAUAAGCACCGGCUAACUACGUGCCACCGUCCGCGGUACCG